AUGCAUGAGUAUGAUCGUCUUUAUAGAGCUUCACCUAAACCAGCUAGGCUUAGGUUGUUUUUGUUUCCGGCCAAUACGCCGGCGACUGUUGGGAGUGGGGUGUCGCAGAGCCGGAGUUUUGGUUCGGAGGAUUCCAAAUCGGAGAAGGAUAGGUUUGUCGAUGCGUUGAAUUCUGGUCCGAUUCAGGCGUCUCCGGCUGCGGGGGCUGUUGCACAGCAGGUUGGAAACGCGGAUUUUCUGUUUGGUUCAGAGAAAGGGAUGGUACCGCCACAUGUGAAAUUGAGAGAUCCGAACUCUGAGCAAGUUGUUAAGGAACCAGAGAUGCCGGUUCAUGGAGUGGAUGAUAGGAUGAUGGGGACUGAUCCGAUCCAGAAGCACAUUCAGGAUCUGCAGAGAUUGCAUCUAGAAGAGCAACAAAAUUUGUAUCGUCGGAAAAGCGACGAUAAUCUGACAGCGGCUUUCCCCGGAGGUGAUUAUUAUGUUCAGAGAGGACCGGAGAAAAUAGCUUCUCCUACCGUGCCGGGUACAGUACCUGCACAGGUUGGCUAUUGGCAGGAAAAACAAGUUCCCGGAGGAGUACUGCCGGCGAGCAGUCUCGGUAUGGAACAACCAGUUUACAUGAUUCAUCAAGCACCGGCCGGAGCAUAUCAACCACACCAGCACCAACACCAACACCCACAAUUUGUCAGGCCAAUGGCCGGACCACCGGGUCAAGGGUACUACGCCGUACAGAGGAUGCCACAGGAGCCUUACAGGGAUCAACCAGUUUACAAUGUCAUGCCUAGUUUACCACAAGCAGUACCGACAGUUGCAGCGGCACCACCAACUUUACAAUCUCAGGUACCUCCAAAGGUGGCUGGUUAUUCGGAAGGAUAUGGCAUGGUAAGACCCGCAACUACCAUGGGAGUUGGUGUAGCAGAUGCAGGUGGGUACACACAGAUGGCGUACGAUGGUGGAGUAGGAAGGCAGAUGUACUAUCCUCCCCAAGGUGGUGUCAUAGCGCCACCACAACAACAACCGCAGUACCACGCAAUGCCGCCACAAGCUGUUGUUGGCUCCGAUAUGAGACCUCAAGAAGCUGCUAAAGUCGUACCUGUGAAACCUACACAAACAUCAGUGUGAUUGAUCUGUGCUUUCCUAUAAAAAUGAUCAAAAUAAUAAAAUAAAAGUAGUAGGGGAGUUUAUAGUAUAAUCCUGUUUAUCUUGAGAAGAUUUAUGUGCCAUAUCGUGUACAUUUUGAGUGGAGAUUGAUUUCUAUGCUUCUUCAAGAUUAUAUCUUCCUUUAUAUCAUGCAAUGCA
rnacentral:misc_RNA from 1 species